CUGAGGGCGAAACAAACGAGGGAGGGAUGCCUCGAACACCAGCCUGGCGCUGGAAAUCGAGAUGCGAUCCCCUUUGCAGAGCAAGGAGAGCAGAGCGAAGCAUCCUGGAGACCCCCAACGUGGAGAGAUCUUGCUGCUGCUGCAGGGCAAAUGCAAAGAUUUUCACCCUUUGCAAGGGAACAUGGAUGGGAAGAAGAACUCCGUUUGGAAGUGGAAGAGCUGGGUUUGAAAUGAAGUCGCACAACAGGACUGACCUCUCCCUCCCCCAGAAAGCAGCAGGAGGAGCUGGCUGCAUAGUUUUAUUCUCACAGGUACUUUCCACAUGUCUGGUGUUGCCUACUGCCUUAUCCCAGCUGGAGGAAACCCCAUGUGCACCCAGCUGUUCAUCCAGGCCAUGGAAACCUCCUUGUGUGCAUCACUGUUGGAACUUCCCUUGGGACCCAAAGCCCUCUCUGUCCCUGGCUAGAUGAAGGACCACAGGAUAAACCCUCCCUGGACACCUUCUGCCUCUCCUAUUGAAAUGAGAUGAGGAAGGUUGUGGAUGUCCCUUCCCUGGAGUUGUCCAAGGCCAGGUUAGAUGAGGUCUUGAGCAACCUGGGCUAGUGGAAGAUGUCUCAGCCCAUGGCAGGGGGUCGAGACUGGAUGAUCUUUAAGGGCCCUUCCAACCCAGCUGGCAAAGAGCUGCUGCUCCUCUGCUGGGAGGAGAAUCCUCCUGUAGUCGGGAGGCAACUGAGUGCCAGACCCUAGCUCCUGAGUCAGGACCAGCUCCCUGAGCCCUGCUGAUGAAGAUUAGGCCACAGUGGGUGGCUGAACAGUGAUGGGGCUGAAUCAUCCAUGGGUUUGGCUUGCAAGGGACAUUUCAAGGCCACCUAGUCCAACCUUCAGGGGGGUUGGUCAGCAGAGACAUCUUCAACUAGAGCAGGUUGCUCAGGGCCACAAACAACCUGACCUAGAACGACUCCAGGGAUGGGGUAUCCACCACCUCCCUGGGCAGCCUGGGCCAGGGUCUCCCCACCCUCCUUGUAAGCAAUUCAGACUAGAUACAAGCAAGAAUCUCUCCUCUUCAGGCUAA